rnacentral:rRNA from 1 species
ACAGGGUGACGAGGUGGUGCAUGGUUGUCGUCAGCUCGUGUCGUGAGAUGUUGGGGUUAAAGUCCCGGCAACGAGCGCAACCCUCGCCUCUAGUUGCCAGCAUUCGGUUGGGCACUCUAGAGGGACUGCCGGCGACAAGUCGGAGGAAGUGGGAUGACGUCAAUCAUCAUGCCCCUUAUGACCUGGGCUACACACGUGCUACAGUGGGCGGUACAAAGGGCUGCGAACCCGCGAGGGGGAGCGAAUCCCAAAAAGCCGCUCUCAGUUCGGAUUGCAGGCUGCAACUCGCCUGCAUGAAGCCGGAAUCGCUAGUAAUCGCGGAUCAGCAUGCCGCGGUGAAUACGUUCCCGGGCCUU